rnacentral:rRNA from 1 species
GACGAACGCUGGCGGCGUGCUUAACACAUGCAAGUCAAACGAUGAAGCCUUCGGGUGGAUUAGUGGCGAACGGGUGAGUAACACGUGGGUGACCUGCCCUGCACUUUGGGAUAAGCCUGGGAAACUGGGUCUAAUACCGGAUAGGACCACAGGAUGCAUGUCUUGUGGUGGAAAGCUUUUGCGGUGUGGGAUGGGCCCGCGGCCUAUCAGCUUGUUGGUGGGGUGAUGGCCUACCAAGGCUGCGACGGGUAGCCGGCCUGAGAGGGUGUCCGGCCACACUGGGACUGAGAUACGGCCCAGACUCCUACGGGAGGCAGCAGUGGGGAAUAUUGCACAAUGGGCGCAAGCCUGAUGCAGCGACGCCGCGUGGGGGAUGACGGCCUUCGGGUUGUAAACCUCUUUCAGCACAGACGAAGCGCAAGUGACGGUAUGUGCAGAAGAAGCACCGGCCAACUACGUGCCAGCCGCCGCAGUAAUAC